UUCUGGGGAUGCCAGCUCAGAUGUCACGUCAUAAAUAGGAGCUCUGCUGUGUCGACACAUCAGAUCCGCACCGUUUCACUAAAGCUUUGAUUUAUGGUUACAGGCUUCGCGGUGGGCUUCGUCCAGUGCUUCCAGACCUUCUUCUGCGGCCCAUCGACACAGUCUCCUACGAAACCCCAAUCAAAAGCUCUCCUUCGUGUUCUUCGUUCGUCUUCGAUCGGCACCGAGACUGUCUAGAUUCUGUAACGGUGUUUGUGGUUUAACGUUGUGGAGUUUUCUUCGUGUCGGUUCGGCUAACUUUCUCCCCCUAAACAUUAGGAAAUACAAUGCUUCUCCCACGAUCAUGAUGAUUAAUCAUUCAAUGCUUCUUAUCUCUCUUCCAGAUUGUGGAUCUCAAUCUAUAAAAAGGCUUGCUGCUGUUCUUCAACCGUCAAGGUCUCUCAUUUUGGGUAGCGAGCGCGGUGGAGAGCUGGGUGUGGCCAUACACCUGCUAAGGCGAAAGAGAAUGCUUUCUUUAUUAUCAAGACCGUCAAGCGUUGAUGGAUUUGGUGAACAAAUCGGAUGAGAGGGUGAGAAAAGAGGAAUCUAGGAUCUGAGAGUUAAAGAAACAAGUGAGAAACAUGUCUGAUGUAAUGAAGAAGCGUCGAGUGGAAUGAGACAAGAGAUUCACAUUGUUACAACAAGAAGAAGUUUUUGUUUAUUCAGUUUUGGCAUCGUUCAUUAGUGAAGAAGAGACUAAGUUAGCGUGUGUGUUCUUCGUGGAGAACAUUCAAGACCAGUCAUUGUUGAUCAGAUGGGAUGAGUUAAGGCCAUCAACAUAAAGGUUUGCAUCUUUGAUUUCGAUGGUAAAGGAGAUUGAGAAGGAGGAAGAAUGCCUCAUCUUGCUAAAGCAGGACAAGAAGUAGAACUUGUAUGCAAUAGCUUAAUGAAGAGAACUGCAAGUUGUUCAAGCAAUGUAGUAGCGGCUCUCUUCAGUGUUCUAUAGAGAAAAGGAAUCUAAGAGAAAGAGUGCUAAGAUGAUGAACAGCAAGCCCGGGAUCUAUCAAUGAAGCAUAAGGUAGUGAUGAUCGAUUUUGUAGUGAUAACAUUGGGAUAAUAACAGUAACCAAGUCAACAUUGGCCGCACCUGUUCUUCUAGAAAUUAUGUUCCCAAAGAGUAAAAUUUGCCUCAAUAAGAUUUUUGAAAUAUCAUCUUAUAUGAUGCAACGGUUGGAAUCGUCAGCUGUUCGCAAGCAGGAAAUAAUAAGAAUAUCAACAUAGUGAUGCUUGCAAGAAGAAAAGAAUGGGUAUAUUAUGAAAAAUCUCUCAAUAUGACAAUUGUCAUGAAUUGUCUAGAGACGUCUCUUCCUCCCGAAUCGUCUCUUCCAGUUUUUCUUUUUCUCUUAUUCUUUUCUGUUCUUUUUAAUUACUUUUAUGUUGAUCGUCUCUUCCAUUUUUUUUUUCUCUUAUUAUUUUCUGUUCUUUUUAGUUACUUUUAUGUUGAGAGAUCAUGGAAGAUAAAAGAUGAGAUUAGAAUUUCUAGCUAAACUGAUCUUUAAGGUGCAAAAUC